GACGACGCUGGCGGCGUGCCUAACACAUGCAAGUCGAGCGGAGUCGAUCGACGGAAGCCUUCGGGCGGAAGAUGGUUGACUUAGCGGCGGAUGGGUGAGUAACGCGUGGGCAACCUGCCUCGAAGACCGGGAUAACAGCCCGAAAGGGCUGCUAAUACCGGAUGUGGUCAAGGAUCCGCAUGGAUUUUGAUUAAAGGGGAAACCCGUUUCGAGAUGGGCCCGCGUCCUAUCAGCUAGUUGGUGAGGUAAAAGCUCACCAAGGCGACGACGGGUAGCCGGCCUGAGAGGGUGACCGGCCACACUGGAACUGAGACACGGUCCAGACUCCUACGGGGGGCAGCAGUGGGGAAUCUUCCACAAUGGGCGAAAGCCUGAUGGAGCGACGCCGCGUGAGCGAAGAAGGCCUUCGGGUUGUAAAGCUCUGUCUGGAGGGACGAAGGAAGUGACGGUACCUCCGGAGGAAGCCACGGCUAACUACGUG
rnacentral:rRNA from 1 species